rnacentral:sRNA from 1 species
GCCACAGACCUCCACCAGCACGAAGUGGACAUCGUUGCGUGGCAGAUAAUACCAACCUAUAUGUGUUUGGAGGUUAUAACCCAGAUUAUGAUGAAUCAGGAGGGCCUGAUAAUGAAGACUAUCCUCUCUUCAGGGAACUCUGGAGGUAUCAUUUUGCUACAGGAGUAUGGCACCAGAUGGGCACAGAUGGCUACAUGCCCCGGGAAUUGGCAUCUAUGUCACCGUUCACAGCAUCUUCACUAGGAGUAGAUUCUAUCUCAAGAAACCACUUUCACUGAGCACAGUGACUCAUGCCUGUAAUCCCAGCACUUUGGGAGGCCGAGGCAGGAGGAUCACUGGAGCCCAGGAGUUGAAGACCAGCUUGGGCAAC